UCACCAACAGGCUAAUAAAAGAGACUCCUCAGCUGGGUGGAAGUAGUUGAGAAGCAGAGGUGAAGAAGAUAGGCACAGUCCCUGGAACUGCAGACCUCACUUUCCACCGCCUUCUCUGUUUCAGAUUGGUCAGGUGGGGAAUCUACAAGGGUAGCCCUAGUGUAUAGCACUACUGUGAGGACAGCUCCAGACUUGAUAAAAUGUCUUUCUUCUCAUCAUGGAUCAAAGCUAUAUUCGUCAUUGCCUUGGCAUUUCCUCUUUAUUCUGAAACUUCUUUUGCUCCUGCACCAGAAUUCAGAUUUCCGCCAAACUGUAAACCGUAUAUAGAUCCUCAAGGAAUUUGCACCAAAGAGUUGGAUCCAGUCUGUGCAAGCAAUGCAGAAACUUAUUACAACGAAUGUAAUUUCUGCUAUGAAAAGAUGUAAGCAUACAAUGGAAAAGCGGUGACAAAUUUGAUUUUAAACAUUUUGGAGAAUGUUAAAUAUUGAUGGAGAUGUGCAUCAAUAUGGCUUUUAUUAUAAUCACAUUUUGUGGUGCACUCUACAGAAAAUUAGUUUUCUCAAUCAGAGCCUUAAAUUCAUAGAUGAUCAAGUGAAUCUUAAGGAGCAGAAGAUGGAAUAUAUAUCAUUCAAAAGUUUUUCCAACUCUAAGUUCCUGUGAUUUCAGGAUUUUGAUUCUCUGUGUUCAACUUUUCAAUGACAGUUUGAAAAUAUAAUGUCUUAAUUGCAUGUUUGAUAAAAUAAAAACUAAUGUAACUUAAUUUCA